AUACGUAGGGGGCGAGCGUUGUCCGGAAUUACUGGGCGUAAAGGGUGCGUAGGCGGCCGAUCAAGUCAGAUGUGAAAUACCACGGCUCAACUGUGGGGGUGCAUAUGAAACUGGUUGGCUUGAGUGCAGGAGAGGAAAGUGGAAUUCCUAGUGUAGCGGUGAAAUGCGUAGAGAUUAGGAGGAACACCAGUGGCGAAGGCGACUUUCUGGACUGUAACUGACGCUGAGGCACGAAAGCGUGGGGAGCGAACAGGAUUAGAUACCCUGGUAGUCCACGCCGUAAACGAUGGAUACUAGGUGUAGAGGGUAUCGACCCCCUCUGUGCCGGAGUUAACGCAAUAAGUAUCCCGCCUGGGGAGUACGGCCGCAAGGUUGAA
rnacentral:rRNA from 1 species